GACGAACGCUGGCGGCGUGCCUAACACAUGCAAGUCGAGCGAACAGACGAGGAGCUUGCUCCUCUGACGUUAUCGGCGGACGGGUGAGUAACACGUGGAUAACCUACCUCUCCGACCGGGAUAACAUCGGGAAAACGGAGCUACUAACGGAUGAUAUAUUGAACCGCAUGGUUCAAUAGUGAAAGACGGUUUUGCUGUCACUUAUAGAUGGAUCCGCGCCGCAUUAGCUAGUUGGUAAGGUAACGGCUUACCAAGGCAACGAUGCGUAGCCGACCUGAGAGGGUGAUCGGCCACACUGGAACUGAGACACCGUCGAGACUCCUACGGGAGGCAGCAGUAGGGAAUCUUCCGGAAUGGUCGAAGGCCUGACGGAGCAACGCCGCGGGAGUGAUGAAGGUCUUCGGAUCGUAAAACUCUGUUAUUAGGGAAGAAGAAAUGUGUAAGUAACUGUGCACGUCUUGACGGUACCUAGACAGAAAGCCACGGCUAACUACGUG
rnacentral:rRNA from 1 species